AGAGUUUGAUCCUGGCUCAGGAUGAACGCUAGCUACAGGCUUAACACAUGCAAGUCGAGGGGCAGCAUGGACCCAGCUUUGCUGGGUUUGAUGGCGACCGGCGCACGGGUGAGUAACGCGUAUCCAACCUGCCCUUUACUCCGGGAUAGUCUCCUGAAAGGGAGUUUAAUACCGGAUGUGUUUGUCUUUCCGCAUGGGAGCGACAAAUAAAGAUUGAUUGGUAAAGGAUGGGGAUGCGUCCCAUUAGCUUGUUGGCGGGGUAACGGCCCACCAAGGCGACGAUGGGUAGGGGUUCUGAGAGGAAGGUCCCCCACAUUGGAACUGAGACACGGUCCAAACUCCUACGGGAGGCAGCAGUGAGGAAUAUUGGUCAAUGGGCGGGAGCCUGAACCAGCCAAGUAGCGUGAAGGACGACGGCCCUAGGGGUUGUAAACUUCUUUUAUAAGGGAAUAAAGUUCGCCACGCGUGGUGUUUUGUAUGUACCUUAUGAAUAAGCAUCGGCUAAUUCCGUGCCAGCAGCCGCGGUAAUACGGAAGAUGCGAGCGUUAUCCGGAUUUAUUGGGUUUAAAGGGAGCGUAGGCGGGCUUUUAAGUCAGCGGUCAAAUGCCACGGCUCAACCGUGGCCAGCCGUUGAAACUGUAAGCCUUGAGUCUGCACAGGGCACAUGGAAUUCGUGGUGUAGCGGUGAAAUGCUUAGAUAUCACGAAGAACUCCGAUCGCGAAGGCAUUGUGCCGGGGCAGCACUGACGCUGAGGCUCGAAAGUGCGGGUAUCAAACAGGAUUAGAUACCCUGGUAGUCCACACAGUAAACGAUGAAUACU
rnacentral:rRNA from 1 species